UUUAGACUUAAGAGCUAUUCAAAUAAGGCACAGCUUAUUUGAAAUAGGACACAACCUACAACAUAGGGUAAAUGAGAGUGACCUAAAUAAAGUGGGCCUAAAAGCAGCCACCUUCAGAAAAGCGUUAAAGCUUAACUACCUUCACUCAUAAUGCCUAAAAUCUCCACUAACCCUUCAUUACUACUGAACAAUUUUAUACUCAUAUAAAAGCUAUCAUGCUAGAACUAGUAACAAGAAACUGCUUUUCUCCUAAAUGUAAACAUAAACCAAAAUAGACCAUCUAUUGGUUAUUAACGUAAAUGCUAAACUGUAGCAACACUCACUAGAAAAUCCUAUAAACCCCAACGUUAACCUUACACCAGAACAUUACAGGAAAGAUUAAAAGAAAAAGAAGGAACUCGGCAAAUUUUAGCCUCGCCUGUUUACCAAAAACAUCGCCUCUUGACAAACAUAAGAGGUCCAGCCUGCCCAGUGACAAAGUUCAACGGCCGCGGUACCCUAACCGUGCAAAGGUAGCACAAUCACUUGUUCUUUAAAUGAGGACUCGUAUCAACGGCACUACGAGGGCUAUACUGUCUCCUUUUUCUAAUCAGUGAAACUGAUCUCCCCGUGAAGAAGCGGGGAUUGUAAUAUAAGACGAGAAGACCCCAUGGAGCUUUAAACUCACCAUGUACCCCUGUGCUCCCAUACCCCCAGACACAACAGACCUACAUGUUAGUUUUAGGUUGGGGUGACCACGGAGUAUAACUUAACCUCCAUAGCAAAUGGGCUAAUACCCUUAUCCACGAGACACAACUCUAAGAAUUACUAAACUAAUGCUUACGACCCGAUAUUCGAUCCAUGAACCAAGUUACCCUGGGGAUAACAGCGCAAUCUACUUCAAGAGCCCAUAUCGACAAGUAGGUUUACGACCUCGAUGUUGGAUCAGGGUAUCCCGGUGGUGCGAGCCG
rnacentral:rRNA from 1 species